UAGGGAAUCUUCGGCAAUGGGCGAAAGCCUGACGGAGCAACGCCGCGUGAGUGAUGAAGGUCUUCGGAUCGUAAAACUCUGUUAUUAGGGAAGAACAAAUGUGUAAGUAACUAUGCACGUCUUGACGGUACCUAAUCAGAAAGCCACGGCUAACUACGUGCCAGCAGCCGCGGUAAUACGUAGGUGGCAAGCGUUAUCCGGAUUUAUUGGGCGUAAAGCGAGCGCAGGCGGUUAGAAAAGUCUGAAGUGAAAGGCAGUGGCUCAACCAUUGUAGGCUUUGGAAACUGUUUAACUUGAGUGCAGAAGGGGAGAGUGGAAUUCCAUGUGUAGCGGUGAAAUGCGUAGAUAUAUGGAGGAACACCGGUGGCGAAAGCGGCUCUCUGGUCUGUAACUGACGCUGAGGCUCGAAAGCGUGGGGAGCGAACAGG
rnacentral:rRNA from 1 species